CUAACUACGUGCCAGCAGCCGCGGUAAUACGUAGGGGGCUAGCGUUAUCCGGAUUUACUGGGCGUAAAGGGUGCGUAGGCGGUCUUUCAAGUCAGGAGUGAAAGGCUACGGCUCAACCGUAGUAAGCGCUUGAAACUGGGAGACUUGAGUGCAGGAGAGGAGAGUGGAAUUCCUAGUGUAGCGGUGAAAUGCGUAGAUAGUAGGAGGAACACCAGUUGCGAAGGCGGCUCUCUGGACUGUAACUGACGCUGAGGCACGAAAGCGUGGGGAGCAAACAGGAUUAGAUACCCUGGUAGUCCACGCUGUAAACGAUGAGUACUAGGUGUCGGGGGUUACCCCCUUCGGUGCCGCAGCUAAC
rnacentral:rRNA from 1 species